UACAGAGGUGGCAAGCGUUGUUCGGAAUUACUGGGCGUAAAGGGCGCGUAGGCGGCCAUCUAAGUCUGACGUGAAAUCCCCCGGCUUAACCUGGGAACUGCGUCUGAUACUGGACGGCUUGAGUAUGGGAGAGGGAUGUAGAAUUCCAGGUGUAGCGGUGAAAUGCGUAGAUAUCUGGAGGAACACCGGUGGCGAAGGCGGCAUCCUGGACCAACACUGACGCUGAGGAGCGAAAGCCAGGGGAGCAAACGGG
rnacentral:rRNA from 1 species